GACGAACGCUGUUGGCGUGCCUAACACAUGCAAGUCGAGCGAAGUGAGUACUACGGUACGAACUUAGCGGCGGACGGGUGAGUAACGCGUGGACAAUCUACCCUGUAGACUGGGAUAACACCUCGAAAGGGGUGCUAAUACCGGAUAAUGUCGAGAAGCGGCAUCGCUUUUCGAAGGAAGGAGAGAAUCCGCUAUAGGAGGAGUCCGCGUCCCAUUAGCGAGUUGGCGAGGGUAACGGCCCACCAAGGCGACGAUGGGUAGCCGGCCUGAGAGGGUGAAUGGCCACACUGGAACUGAGACACGGUCCAGACUCCUACGGGGGGCAGCAGUGGGGAAGAUUGUGCAAUGGGGGAAGCCCUGACACAGCAACGCCGCGUGAGCGAAGGAGGCCUUCGGGUUGUAAAGCUCAAUGGUAUGGGAAGAUAAUGACGGUACCAUACGAAAGCCCCGGCUAACAACGUGCCAGCCGCCGCGGUAAUAG
rnacentral:rRNA from 1 species